rnacentral:misc_RNA from 1 species
AGUAAUUCCAUUGUGCGAAAGAAGGUAAAAUAAUCAUAAUUUAUAGUGUAAAGUUUGAAAUAAUGUCAAAAUGUAAGGGUACCAUAGUUUGGUCGUACACCGUGCGAGAUGCAAGAUAUUGAAGAACGCUAUUAUAAAGUCAGUGACACUUUUCUUAAAAUGAUAGGCCUAUGGCCUUAUCAGAAAACAAAGUUUGUUCGAAUACAAAAUGUACUCAUCAUUGGUAUUCUUUGUGGAUAUAUUAUUGUACAGCUGCUGUCAUUUUUAACAAUGCAAUUCAGUGUAAAUCUCCUUCUGAAAGUUUUAUCUUUCGUGUUUCCAACUCUUUUUAUGGUAAUAAAAUAUUGCACCCUCAUCAUUCAAGCAAAUAAUGUAAAACAACUGGUUGAGCAAAUUCGACACGACUGGAAGUUAGUGAAAGGUAAACUGGAAAUUGAUAUUAUCAAAAAAUACGCUGAAAAUGGGAGAUUUGUAACAAUAAUUGUAAUAGUGUGUUGUCAUUGUGGCAUAUUGUGUUACAUCACAUUGCAACUUCUACCGUUGAUACUUAACGUUAUUGCACCGUUAAAUGAAUCACGAUCGGUGAAACUUAUCGCGACCACGGAAUACUUUCUUAAUCGGGAGAAAUAUAUCUGGAUAAUGUUACUUCAUGAGAUAGUUACCGUUUAUUUAAGAUUGAUAACGUUGUGUAGCAUUAGUAUGACAUUACUGAUGCAGAUCUUGCACGCAUGUGCGCUGUUUAACAUAGCAAGCUAUCUAAUGGAGAAUGCAAUUCCAGAGAACGUGUUAGCAAUACAUGAUUCUGUAAAGGAACAUAUACUUCAUCAGAGGAUUGCACACGUAGUUCUUAUUCAUCGUAGGGCCAUUAGCUUUAUUCAGCUUUGGAUAUCUAGUUUUGCGGUACCGUUUUUUAUUAUGAUCCUGGUUGGAGUUUGCUCCUUAAGUGUUAAUCUUUUUCAUUUGCUUGAACUAAUAACAGUUACCGAUGACGUUAAUGAAAUGUACGCAGUUUUUAUGUCAGUAAUUCUCCAUUUUAACUUUAUGUUUAUACUUAAUUAUGCUGGAGAGAUAGUUCAGAAUCAUGGAAUGCAAGUAUUCGGAGCAACGUAGGUAUCAUAUUCUACAGAAUUUUUGAAUUCGCUCAGAUUUCAACAGAUUAGAGUUAUAAUGGACUGUGGUACGUAGCUCCACUGCGGACGCAAAAAUUGAUAUUAUUUGUAAUGCAAAGGG